rnacentral:rRNA from 1 species
UACAGAGGUCUCAAGCGUUUGUUCGGAUUCAUUGGGCGUAAAGGGUGUGUAGGUGGCGCCGUAAGUCGGGUGUGAAAUUUCGGAGCUUAACUCCGAAACUGCAUUCGAUACUGCGGUGCUUGAGGACUGGAGAGGAGACUGGAAUUUACGGUGUAGCAGUGAAAUGCGUAGAUAUCGUAAGGAAGACCAGUGGCGAAGGCGGGUCUCUGGACAGUUCCUGACACUGAGACACGAAGGCCAGGGGGAGCAAACGGG